AGAGAAGAGGAUUAUGGGACACUGGCGGACUGAAUUCGGCUACCUUAAUUGUCUCUCCUCUUCUUGUUUUCCCAGGGCCCCAGACCGGAAAUGGAUUCUGUUUGAAGAUUCGGAUGCAUUCGCACAGCCUCUUUUAUUUGUUUUUCCUUAGGGCCGAGCUUUGAUUGUUUUCCUUACACAACCGGGAAUAUUGGAGUAACACUGUAUUUUUCUCUUUUCCUGGAGUUGCCAGAUGAAAUACAGGAUGCCUACCUAAGACAGAGUCUCGCUCUUGUCACUCAGGCUGGAGUGCAGUGUUGCAAUCACAGCUUACUGCAGCCUCAAGCUCCUGGACAAGGGAUCCUCCCGCUUCAGCCUCCCAAGUAGCUGGGACUAAGGCAACAUUCACAUAUCCUGGACUGUGACACAUCAGCAUUUGUUUCCCUUAGCCAGCCCAAACAAGUACAAAUUGCAGACUACUUGGACUUCUUUUAUGGCACCUGUUUCAAAAUUCCUUAUAUCAUAAUUAUUUGUGUUUAUGACUGUGAACUUCAAUAAACUGCAAGUUUCUUGAAGACAGAAAUAGUGUUGUAUUGACUGCUGUAUUCCUGGAGGUAUCAUAGUGCCUGGAACAUUGAGGAUGCUCAAGGAAAGUGGAAAGUGGAAUCUCUGUUGCCCAUCUUCAGGAUCUACCACCAGAAAAUAUACCAUAUCGUUGACUUUGUUUAUAAGUGGAAAGUCAUAACCAGAGCACUCUAUGAAUAUUGUAUUAAAGAAGGCUAUGCAGGAAAAAACCUAAUCACAAUAUGGAAAAAGCAAGGCUAUGAGAACUUGUGCUGGCUGCUGUGCCUUCAGACAUGGAACACCAAUUUUGGGACAAACUGCAAUUGCUGUGUUCCUAAAACAAAGAUAGAAGUGGGCUGCAUCAUUGAGUGCAUGCACUGUGGCUGCCAGGGCUGCUCUAGCUGAGGUCCUUGGGCCCUGACCCCUCUCCACCCUGGACUCUGGACUUUGCACGUUCCUGCCUGUUGUCGUCCCAUUUCCUGGGAACAACUCUUCUCCUAGAGCAAUGCCCUAGGCCUUAGUUGGAGCAUGGUCUCUAUAGGUGAAGGCUUUGCUCUCCAUCAGCUGUGAUUUGUAAAAAUAAAAACUUUAAACCUCUUGGGGGGAAAACAACUGUUAAAAGAAGUUCUUCAGAAAAAUGAAAAUUAUAGGUUAGGCACUUGGAUUCACAUAACAAAAGGAAGACCAUGGGAAAAUCAAUAAGUGAAGGUAAAAUUAAAACUUUUAUUUUCUUACACUUAAUCUAACAGUUAAGUUUGCUAAAAAUAAUAUCAAUAUGUUCAUAUAUAUGUUUAAAUAUAUAUGUUUAUAUAUAAGUGAAAUGAAUGACAGCAAUUAUAGAAGGGAAGGGAGGGAGAUACUAAGAUUCUUUUAUUAUUAUAAGGAACUCACACUAUCCAUGAAGUGGUACAGUGUUACUUGACAGUGAACUUGUGCCCGGCGUGCUGGCUCAUGCCUGUAAUUCUAGCACUUUGGGAGUCUAAGGCAAGAGGAUCCCUUUAGCCCAGGAUUUGGAGACACAGCCUGGACAGCAUAGAGGGACCCUGUCUCUAUUUUAAAAAAGAAAAGAAAAUGAACUUGGAUUA
rnacentral:lncRNA from 1 species